GAUGAACGCUGGCGGCGUGCCUAAUACAUGCAAGUCGAGCGAACAGACGAGGAGCUUGCUCCUCUGACGUUAGCGGCGGACGGGUGAGUAACACGUGGAUAACCUACCUAUAAGACUGGGAUAACUUCGGGAAACCGGAGCUCAUACCGGAUAAUAUAUUGAACCGCAUGGUUCAAUAGUGAAAGACGGUUUUGCUGUCACUUAUAGAUGGAUCCGCGCCGCAUUAGCUAGUUGGUAAGGUAACGGCUUACCAAGGCAACGAGGCGUAGCCGACCUGAGAGGGUGAUCGGCCACACUGGAACUGAGACACGGUCCAGACUCCUACGGGAGGCAGCAGUAGGGAAUCUUCCGCAAUGGGCGAAAGCCUGACGGAGCAACGCCGCGUGAGUGAUGAAGGUCUUCGGAUCGUAAAACUCUGUUAUUAGGGAAGAACAAAUGUGUAAGUAACUAUGCACGUCUUGACGGUACCUAAUCAGAAAGCCACGGCUAACUACGUG
rnacentral:rRNA from 1 species